UUUCAAAAAAAGUAGGUAAAUAAAAAUUUUUGUUAAAAGAAAAAUGUCGGUAUCAAAAUGAAAUCAUGCUGAAAAAGAUGCAAAUUUUUUAUCACAUGGAAUUUGUCUUGGAAUGAAUGCAGAUUUGCAACCUGGACAGACGCCCCCAUUUAUAUCCAUAACUCUAGUGCCACGAUGCAUGAACAACAGCAUCUAAAACAGCAACAUCAACAGCAGCUACAGCAUCAUCAACUACAAAACUGCUGACUCCUGAUAUGAUGCGCCAGUCCAUUUUUUCAUAAAUCUCGGCUGCAGAAAUCAAUUCGAGGACAAGCACAAGAUGCAAAUAUAUCACAUGGAAUGAAUGAAAAAAAUAAUGGACACAGAGCUUCCGCCAAAAGUACAAAUAUUGUCUGGAUCAAUUGGAACAAUCGCCUAUACAGCCAGGACAACAAAUGUCCGGAAUGGGAUCUAACGUAAAAUUAAGUUCCUACGGAAUACUUCCAACAUCUUGAUCACACUUGCCAACGUGUGGAUAAUGUGAAUCGUGACAAUCGUAAACAGUUGGAAUGAUUUGGGAGCGAGAAAUGCUGAAUAUUUUGGGUAACUUUGUCAAUAGAGCUUUGGUGUUCUGUGAAAAGAACUACGACUCGACCAUUCCA